rnacentral:rRNA from 1 species
CAGUCGCCGCGGGAAAACGUAGGGGGCAAGCGUUAUCCGGAAUUAUUGGGCGUAAAGAGUGCGUAGGUGGUCUACUAAGCGCGAGGUGAAAGGCAAUGGCUCAACCAUUGUUAGCCUUGCGAACUGGCAGACUUGAGUGCAAGAGAGGAAAGCGGAAUUCCUAGUGUAGCGGUGAAAUGCGCAGAUAUUAGGAGGAACACCGGCGGCGAAGGCGGCUUUCUGGAUUGUAACUGACACUGAGGCACGAAAGCGUGGGUAGCAAACAGGAUUAGAUACCCCAGUAGUCCCUGUCUCUUAUACA